UACAGAGGUCUCAAGCGUUGUUCGGAAUUACUGGGCGUAAAGGGCUCGUAGGCGGCCAACUAAGUCAGACGUGAAAUCCCUCGGCUUAACCGGGGAACUGCGUCUGAUACUGGAUGGCUUGAGUUUGGGAGAGGGAUGCGGAAUUCCAGGUGUAGCGGUGAAAUGCGUAGAUAUCUGGAGGAACACCGGUGGCGAAGGCGGCAUCCUGGACCAACACUGACGCUGAGGAGCGAAAGCCAGGGGAGCAAACGGG
rnacentral:rRNA from 1 species